GGGGAGAUGCCCGAGUGGCCGAAGGGAACGGUUUGCUAAAUCGUCGUACGGUUUACCCCGUACCGAGGGUUCGAAUCCCUCUCUCCCCG
rnacentral:tRNA from 1 species